rnacentral:rRNA from 1 species
AACGAACGCCGGCGGCAGGCUUAACACAUGCAAGUCGAACGGGUGUAGCAAUACAUCAGUGGCAGACGGGUGAGUAACACGUGGGAACCUUCCUAGGGGUACGGAACAACUCAGGGAAACUUGAGCUAAUACCGUAUACGUCCGUAAGGAGAAAGAUUCAUCGCCCCUAGACGGGCCCGCGUCGGAUUAGGUAGUUGGUGGGGUAACGGCCUACCAAGCCUACGAUCCGUAGCUGAUCUGAGAGGAUGAUCAGCCACACUGGGACUGAGACACGGCCCAGACUCCUACGGGAGGCAGCAGUGGGGAAUCUUGGACAAUGGGCGCAAGCCUGAUCCAGCCAUGCCGCGUGAGUGAAGAAGGCCUUAGGGUUGUAAAGCUCUUUUACCAGGGACGAUAAUGACGGUACCUGGAGAAUAAGCCCCGGCAAACUUCGUGCCAGCAGCCGCCGCUGUAA